AGAUCAGCCCUGGGGUUCAGAGGGAUCCUGACAGCUACUCCUCAAGAUCCUCUCUGUUGUGAUUCAUCCCCCCGGGGCCCUACAGUUUCUCCUUCCUGACUCUUACAUUUCUUUGGAUGGCAUCAUUAUUUACCUGUCUCCUCCCAUAGUUAGGUGCCAAGCACUGUGGAUUCUGCCUCUCAGUGUCCAGACACCCAUUUUCCUUCCCACUGUUCCUUCCCCAUGGAGAAGCCUGUGGCUGGCUGACAGCAGAGAGAGAUGCUCAACUUGGAGAAGGUGUUACCUGGGCCAGGUGGGGAAGGUUUGUUUGCAGAGCAAAGAAGUGAAGGAAGUAUUAACCCUUUGCAUGGCCUCCUGAGAAUCCGACAAGACCCUAUUCAACGUGAAAAAGAUGAGGAUGAAGACCUUUAUUAUGAUCCACUUCCAAGUAAUGAACACACUGGAGAAAGUCAGACAGUCAAAACAAUGUCCCAGACUCCGUGAAGUUCCUGGGUAGAGAAGGAGACAGACAUAUACCAUACCUAAUAAUUGGAUGUCCGAGAGAAUGAGAGAAUGGCAGAAAGAACUUUAGACUUUUUUCUAGCAAUACAUGGAAAUAAGGGCUUGUCGGCAACUCAAGUUCAGAAAAUGAAGAAAGUGACAGUUCUGCACACAUGAAUUAUGGCUGUAAAUUUUAAAGCCAUCAUAUGUGAUCCUUGAUUUUACCUUGAUUCUAACUGCUUCCUAAAGCCAUGGAUUGCUCAGAUUCAAUAGGCAGAGGAAUGGGAAGCAGCAAGAAUUACCAGAAAUAAAUAUACAUCAGAUAAUGUG
ensembl:lncRNA MYO3B-AS1 MYO3B antisense RNA 1